AGAACGAACGCUGGCGGCAGGCCUAACACAUGCAAGUCGAGCGCGCCCUUCGGGGUGAGCGGCGGACGGGUGAGUAACGCGUGGGAACGUGCCCUUUUCUACGGAAUAGCCUCGGGAAACUGAGAGUAAUACCGUAUACGCCCUUUGGGGGAAAGAUUUAUCGGAAAAGGAUCGGCCCGCGUUGGAUUAGGUAGUUGGUGGGGUAAUGGCCUACCAAGCCGACGAUCCAUAGCUGGUUUGAGAGGAUGAUCAGCCACACUGGGACUGAGACACGGCCCAGACUCCUACGGGAGGCAGCAGUGGGGAAUCUUAGACAAUGGGGGCAACCCUGAUCUAGCCAUGCCGCGUGAGUGAUGAAGGCCUUAGGGUUGUAAAGCUCUUUCAGCUGGGAAGAUAAUGACGGUACCAGCAGAAGAAGCCCCGGCUAACUCCGUGCCAGCAGCCGCGGUAAUACGGAGGGGGCUAGCGUUGUUCGGAAUUACUGGGCGUAAAGCGCACGUAGGCGGACCAGAA
rnacentral:rRNA from 1 species